rnacentral:tRNA from 1 species
GGUGGUUCAGUGGUAGAAUUCUCGCCUUCCAUGUGGGAGACCUGGGUUUGAUUCCCAGCC